rnacentral:rRNA from 1 species
UACGAAGGGUGCAAGCGUUAGUCGGAAUUACUGGGCGUAAAGCGUGCGUAGGUGGUUUCUUAAGUCCGUUGUGAAAGCCCUGGGCUCAACCUGGGAACUGCAGUGGAUACUGAGAGGCUAGAGUGUGUCAGAGGAUGGUGGAAUUCCCGGUGUAGCGGUGAAAUGCGUAGAUAUCUGGAGGAACACCGGUGGCGAAGGCGGCAUCCUGGACCGGCAUUGACGCUGAGGCGCGAAAGCCAGGGGAGCAAACGGG